AAGAGGAAGAGGAGGAGGAAGCCCACUGUACAUGCAGCUCUAACGUGCACACAGUGUUGAGUCAGUGUUAGCCAGUAGCACAGUUAGCGAGUAAGUCACUGUCAGAGCUGCUUACCUUUUCUUAGGUAAACGUUAUCUGAGAAACAGAGAACAAACAAAAAGGAAACCAAUAAAACAGUAUCUUGCAGAAGCCGCUUUAGGGAACUGCCUUCAUGACAUAUUUUACUUCAGUUUGCAUCAUUAAACAUGAUAUCAGCUGUCCAUCAUUAUUAAUGGAGAGAAAUCCAAAAUCUGAGCUUCCUGAGAGGCCCAGGAGGAGACAGCGCAGAGAUAAUCCACUGAGAGGCUGAAUAAAGCAGCAAUGUUUCAGGAGCCGCCUGCUGCUGCUGCAAAACACAAAAGAGGAAGUUGGUGAAAAGACCGGCGCUGAGUGAAAAGGACAUAUGGGGCUGGUGUGAGGGCGAGGACGCCCGAGUCAGGUGGAAACAUAUCCAGGUCGUCUCCACAACAACGGAGGAGCGCGCUAUCCAUCAGUGGCGACGUGUCGAGAAAAAUAAAUGGUCUGAACGAGGCAGGGGAGGGUGAGUCAUCUAUCUGAGGGCGCCGCAGGGGGAAAUGUCUCCGCUGUAAAAGCAAAGUUGUGACACCGUGAGAGGGACGCU